rnacentral:rRNA from 1 species
GAUGAACGCUGGCGGCGUGCCUAAUACAUGCAAGUCGAGCGAACAGACGAGGAGCUUACUCCUCUGACGUUAGCGGCGGACGGGUGAGUAACACGUGGAUAACCUACCUAUAAGACUGGGAUAACUUCGGGAAACCGGAGCUAAUACCGGAUAAUAUAUUGAACCGCAUGGUUCAAUAGUGAAAGACGGUUUUGCUGUCACUUAUAGAUGGAUCCGCGCCGCAUUAGCUAGUUGGUAAGGUAACGGCUUACCAAGGCAACGAUGCGUAGCCGACCUGAGAGGGUGUUCGGCCACACUGGAACGGAGACACGGUCCAGACUCCUACGGGAGGCAGCAGUAGGGAAUCUUCCGCAAUGGGCGAAAGCCUGACGGAGCAACGCCGUGUGAGUGAUGAAGGUCUUCGGAUCGUAAAACUCUGUUAUUAGGGAAGAACAAAUGUGUAAGUAACUAUGCACGUCUUGACGGUACCUAAUCAGAGAGCCACGGCUAACUACGUGCCAGCCGCCGCGGUAA